AACUUAUCCAAGUCUAUUUAUAGCCAAUACUGAACCAUUUCAUAUUUCACAACUCCCAGUUCAGAAGUGCAAUAACAUUACAACGAUAUAAUUUCAUUUACAGAACCCAUCAUAGCCUUUCUGGUACCUCAGCUACGCGGCUGUGAUGUGAACAAGGUGUUGUAGCUGUCUUUCCACUCCUGCUGGGACAGGACUCCAGGGUUCAUCCCUAAAACAGCUGGGCCAUUGGUAUCUAUUUUAUUCUCUACCCUUUGGUAAGCCUCACACAGUUUAUCAAGCACAGCCCUUGGUCAAGGACUUUUGCAGAAACCCCCCUCCACUCCAGCCUCCAAGCAAACUUUUGGGGUACUGCUCUGUGCAGUCCCUUCUCCUCUGGUGCCUGCCCUGCAGAUUCCAGCUGCCUCAGCUUCCUCAAGUCAGCAGGACCAUCUUGCUCUGCUGAUUCCAUUUCACUGGCUUCAGUACAGAAAUUCCCAAGCAUGGAGACAUGAGCAGAAUGGGAAGCAGAGAUGCUGCCUGAGGAUCCAACCUGGUCCCAUGACUUCCACCUGGCACCAACUCAUUGCUCCCACCUUGCCUGGUCCUCAGCUACCAGAGCCCUCAGCUGCUACUGGAUGUAACUUCUGCAGAACCUAGCCAGCUUUAGAGCCAUCACCUGCUCCAUCUGGCUCAUGGUAUCUUUAUUUUUGAGCCUAAAAACUGAUUAUCAUAAGCAUAAAUGAAGACAUUUGGAAGCCUGCUAACACCUAUAGAAAAGCCCUGACUUUGGAAAGCUUGUAAGGUUGGUAAGUUUGACUUGAUAAUUCCUCAGCUGUCUUCAUUUCAGUGUUUU
ensembl:lncRNA